rnacentral:misc_RNA from 1 species
GAUGAAGAACGCAGCGAAAUGCGAUAAGUAAUGCGAAUUGCAGAAUUCAGUGAGUCAUCGAAUCUUUGAACGCACAUUGCGCCCUGUGGUAUUCCGCAGGGCAUGCCUGUUCGAGCGUCAUUUCAACCCUCAAGCUCUGCUUGGUGUUGGGCCCUGCCCGCUGCGGCCGGCCCUAAAGACAGUGGCGGUGCCGCCUGGCCCUGAGCGUAGUACAUCUCUCGCUCCAGUGCCCGGUGGUAGCCUGCCAGAACCCCAACUCUCGUGGUUGACCUCGUAUCAGGUAGGGAUACCCGCUGAACUUAAGCAUAUCAAUAAGCGGAGGA